AUUGAACGCUGGCGGCAGGCCUAACACAUGCAAGUCGAACGAGUGGCGGACGGGUGAGUAAUGUCUGGGAAACUGCCCGAUGGAGGAGGAUAACUACUGGAAAAGGUAGCUAAUACCGCAUACCAUCAGAUGUGCCCAGAUGGGAUUGGCUGGUGGGUGGGGGAACGGCUCACCUAGGGGACGAUCCCCAGCUGGUCUGAGAGGAUGACCAGCCACACUGGAACUGAGACACGGUCCAGACGCCGACGGGAGGCAGCAGUGGGGAAUAUUGGACAAUGGGCGCAAGCCUGAUGCAGCCAUGCCGCGUGUAUGAAGAAGGCCUUCGGGUUGUAAAGUACUUUCAGCGGGGAGGCGUUACCCGCAGAAGAAGCACCGGCUAACUCCGUGCCAGCAGCCGCGGUAAUUC
rnacentral:rRNA from 1 species